GACGAACGCUGGCGGCGUGCUUAACACAUGCAGGUCGAACGCUGACGCCCAGCUUUUGUUGGGUGGAUGAGCGGCGAACGGGUGAGUAACACGUGAGUAACCUGCCCCCUUCUUUGGGAUAACGCCCGGAAACGGGUGCUAAUACUGGAUAUUCACUGGUCUUCGCAUGGGGGUUGGUGGAAAGGGUUUUUCUGGUGGGGGAUGGGCUCGCGGCCUAUCAGCUUGUUGGUGGGGUGAUGGCCUACCAAGGCUUUGACGGGUAGCCGGCCUGAGAGGGUGACCGGUCACAUUGGGACUGAGAUACGGCCCAGACUCCUACGGGAGGCAGCAGUGGGGAAUAUUGCACAAUGGGCGCAAGCCUGAUGCAGCGGCGCCGCGUGAGGGAUGGAGGCCUUCGGGUUGUGAACCUCUUUCGCUCAUGGUCAAGCCGCAACAAUGGUUGUGGUGAGGGUAGUGGGUAAAGAAGCGCCGGCUAACUACGUG
rnacentral:rRNA from 1 species